rnacentral:piRNA from 1 species
UGGCCAAAGAUAAGACCAAGGUGCGGGUGU